rnacentral:rRNA from 1 species
CGGCAAAGCUCAAAUUUGAAAUCUGGUACCUUCGGUGCCCGAGUUGUAAUUUGGAGAGGGCAACUUUGGGGCCGUUCCUUGUCUAUGUUCCUUGGAACAGGACGUCAUAGAGGGUGAGAAUCCCGUGUGGCGAGGAGUGCGGUUCUUUGUAAAGUGCCUUCGAAGAGUCGAGUUGUUUGGGAAUGCAGCUCUAAGUGGGUGGUAAAUUCCAUCUAAAGCUAAAUAUUGGCGAGAGACCGAUAGCGAACAAGUACAGUGAUGGAAAGAUGAAAAGAACUUUGAAAAGAGAGUGAAAAAGUACGUGAAAUUGUUGAAAGGGAAGGGCAUUUGAUCAGACAUGGUGUUUUGUGCCCUCUGCUCCUUGUGGGUAGGGGAAUCUCGCAUUUCACUGGGCCAGCAUCAGUUUUGGUGGCAGGAUAAAUCCAUAGGAAUGUAGCUUGCCUCGGUAAGUAUUAUAGCCUGUGGGAAUACUGCCAGCUGGGACUGAGGACUGCGACGUAAGUCAAGGAUGCUGGCAUAAUGGUUAUAUGCCGCCCG